GAUGAAGAACGUAGCAAAAUGCGAUAAGUAAUGUGAAUUGCAGAAUUCAGUGAAUCAUCGAGUCUUUGAACGCACAUUGCGCCCACUGGUAUUCCGUUGGGCAUGUCUGUUUGAGCGUCACUACAACAGUUCAGCGUAAGCUGGUUAUGAGUUCUGUUUUUUUAAACAAAAAACAGGCUUUAAAAUGUAUGUUCUGCAGGUCGCUUUGCUAAACCCUAAACAUUAAAUACUGUUCUAGUGAAGCAUUUGCGACUCUGCCUGAAAAACAACUUUUGUUAAAGUUUGACCUCAGAUCAGACAAGGAUACCCGCUGAACUUAAGCAUAUCAAUAAGCGGAGGA
rnacentral:misc_RNA from 1 species